AGCGAACGCUGGCGGCAGGCCUAACACAUGCAAGUCGAACGAACCUUUCGGGGUUAGUGGCGGACGGGUGAGUAACACGUGGGAACGUGCCUUUAGGUUCGGAAUAACUCAGGGAAACUUAUGCUAAUACCGAAUGUGCCCUUCGGGGGAAAGAUUAAUCGCCUUUAGAGCGGCCCGCGUCUGAUUAGCUAGUUGGUUGAGGUAAUGGCUCACCAAGGCGACGAUCAGUAGCUGGUCUGAGAGGAUGAUCAGCCACAUUGGGACUGAGACACGGCCCAAACUCCUACGGGAAGCAGCAGUGGGGAAUCUUGCGCAAUGGGCGAAAGCCUGACGCAGCCAUGCCGCGUGAAUGAUGAAGGUCUUAGGAUUGUAAAAUUCUUUCACCGGGGACGAUAAUGACGGUACCCGGAGAAGAAGCCCCGGCUAACUUCGUG
rnacentral:rRNA from 1 species